rnacentral:misc_RNA from 1 species
UUUCCGUAGGUGAGUAAAUGUUUAAAUUCUAUACGACAGUCAAAUACUAACGGUUUAUAGGUGAACCUGCGGAAGGAUCAUUACCGAGUGACGCUCAGUUGAGCUCCUCCCACCCAUUGUUAACUUCUUGUUGCUUCGGCGGGCCACGAGAGUCAUCGGCUUUACGCGGAUGAGUGCCCGCCGAAGAUUUUUAAACUCUAGUCUUGAAGUCUGAUUAAAAACAAAUAAAUAA